rnacentral:rRNA from 1 species
AACGAACGCUGGCGGCAUGCCUAACACAUGCAAGUCGAACGAGACCUUCGGGUCUAGUGGCGCACGGGUGCGUAACGCGUGGGAACCUGCCCUUAGGUUCGGAAUAACUCCCCGAAAGGGGUGCUAAUACCGGAUAAUGUCUUCGGACCAAAGAUUUAUCGCCUUUGGAUGGGCCCGCGUUGGAUUAGCUAGUUGGUAGGGUAAAAGCCUACCAAGGCGACGAUCCAUAGCUGGUCUGAGAGGAUGAUCAGCCACACUGGGACUGAGACACGGCCCAGACUCCUAGGGGAGGCAGCAGUGGGGAAUAUUGGAAAAUGGGCGAAAGCCUGAUCCAGCAAUGCCGCGUGAGUGAUGAAGGCCUUAGGGUUGUAAAGCUCUUUUACCCGGGAUGAUAAUGACAGUACCGGGAGAAUAAGCUCCGGCUAACUCCGUG